AAAGAUUGGAUAGGACUAUAGGAGGAUUGUGUUUUGCAACAACUCCGUGUGUUUCACAUUGAAGACAAGUCCCACCUCUAUAAAUAAAGUAGCCUCCCUCAAAAACAUAACAUAUUGAAAAAGCUCUCAUUUUUAGCUAAUUAUUUUCUUGAAGUAGUACUGCGAGAAAUGGAUUCAAGGUAUACUGGGAAGAGUGAAAAUGAAAUGAAUAUCGACGAUGAAGAGACAAGAAGUAAAUACCCAUUUGUGAGUAUUUUAAGUAUGAGUGGAGGAGAUGGAGAUAAUAGUUACUCCUCCAAUUCUCUUCUUCAGAGAAGAGUUUUAUCAAUGACCAAAGCAAUCCUGGUUAAAAACACCAAAGAAAUGAUGACAAACUUG